GACUGCGUAUCGCGGUGGAGUGUUCAGAGGCAUUGUGCUACAUGCAUUCACAAAUGUAUACUCAGGUCAUUCAUGGUGAUAUCAAGCCUGCCAAUAUACUAUUAGAUGACAACUUCAAUGCAAAAAUAUCUGACUUUGGAAUAUCAAGACUUGUCAACACAGACUCGACCCUUUUCACUGAGCGUGUAAUAGGGAGCAUAGGUUACAUGGACCCUUUGUUUGGUCGCAGCGGGCGUCUCACCUCGAAGAGUGAUGUUUACAGCUUCGGAAUAGUUCUGGUUGAAUUGAUUACAAAGAAAAAGGCAACAACAAGAAAUGGGGAGACCGGCAUAGUUGAAUGUUUUACCCAAUCUCUUGUAACAGAGAAGAGAAAGGUGAGAGAGUUGUUUGAUGUUGAAAUCUCAAGCCAGAACAACAUGAAGGUCCUUGAAGGGGUUGCAAAGCUAGCAGGACAAUGCUUGAGAAUGGAGAUAGAUAGACGCCCUGAGAUGAGAGAUGUGGCAGAACGUCUUCGGGCACUUAGGAAAACUCAAGUUCAAGGUAAACAAACACCAACUAUUUUUCCUUGGGGGUGGAGGAACAAGCCAGCAGCUCAAAACAACUGGCAAUCUUCUAGCUCAGUCACGCAACGAUCUUUGCCAUAUAACUUGUGCCGCCAUUUCUCACUCAGGGAGAUGAAAUCCGUGACAAGAAACUUUGAUAAGUCGCACCUUAUUGGUGUGGAUUUAUUUGGUAAAGUUUACUAUGGAGUGAUUGAUGGGGGAGUAACAAAGGUAGCUAUCAAAAGGGGCAGGUUUCAACAGGAUGUGAGUAUGUUCCAGACAGAGAUAGCGAUGAUGGCCAAUCUCCGCCACCAUCAUCUCGUAUCAUUGGUCGGUUACUGUAAAGAGAAAAACCAGAGGAUGCUGAUCUACGACUACAUGGCUCGUGGCACCCUGAGUGAGAACCUUUACGCUAACAAAAUGAAGGAGCCACCGCUUACUUGGAGGCAGCGUCUAGACGUCUGCAUCGGUGCUGCUCGUGCCCUGCA
rnacentral:rRNA from 1 species